rnacentral:rRNA from 1 species
GAUGAACGCUGGCGGCGUGCCUAAUACAUGCAAGUCGAGCGAACAGACGAGGAGCUUGCUCCUCUGACGUUAGCGGCGGACGGGUGAGUAACACGUGGAUAACCUACCUAUAAGACUGGGAUAACUUCGGGAAACCGGAGCUAAUACCGGAUAAUAUAUUGAACCGCAUGGUUCAAUAGUGAAAGACGGUUUUGCUGUCACUUAUAGAUGGAUCCGCGCCGCAUUAGCUAGUUGGUAAGGUAACGGCUUACCAAGGCAACGAUGCGUAGCCGACCUGAGAGGGUGAUCGGCCAGACUGGAACUGAGACACGGUACAGACUCCUACGGGAGGCAGCAGUAGGGAAUCUUACGCAAUGGGCGAAAGCUUGACGGAGCAACGCCGCGUGAGUGAUGAAGGUCUUCGGAUCGUAAAACUCUGUUAUUAGGGAAGAACAAAUGUGUAAGUAACUAUGCACGUCUUGACGGUACCUAAUCAGAAAGCCACGGCUAACUACGUG